rnacentral:snRNA from 1 species
AUCGCUUCUCGGCCUUUUGGCUAAGAUCAAGUGUAGUAAAACUUUAGUUACUCACUGUUUUUUAAUUAAUUUUUAUGGGUGUAUAGUUGAUUUACAAUGUUACAUUAGUAAAAUGAAUCAGUUAUGCAUAUGUACAUAUCUACU